rnacentral:rRNA from 1 species
AUGACCCUAAGCCUACCCACUCGCUAUAUAUUCAGCCUAACCCUAGCCCCUAGCUGUCCCAUCCACCCAUUCCGCCCGCCGCCACCGCUUGGUCGCUCCCCUCGGGAUCCCCCCUCGAUCCAGAUCCACCAACCUCGCAGUGCCCCAAUCCAUCCAUCCCAUCCUGCCUCCGACCAUCGUCCUCAAUUUCAGCGCCACCCAACCAACCACCGCACCAGCGCCAUGCCCUGCUUCCUAUCUCCUCCCUGUCUCGCCCGGUGCCCGAUCUGCAUCGCGCCGCUGCCUACGUUCCCCGCUGCAGCCAGCCUCCACCGGAGCUCCCUCCGCCGACGAGCAUCACCAGCCCCAGCACCACCAUGGAUGGCCUCCCGUAGCUCCCGCUUGUUGCGCCGGCGUGGUUCCCGGCCGAUCCGCGCCGAAGAGCCUCGGACUCGUCCAGCCCCUUCAUCCCUCGACGCCGAGUUCCUCUGCUUCACCUGCAAGUCCGCUUCCCCGCCGGUCCAUCACCGUUGCCAGCCAUCGGCCUUGCCUCUGCUUCGAACGACAGGACAGCACCUCGCCCUAUGCCUCCUCCUCGACCCCGCCAGGAGCCGUCCUCGCCAUCGUCCUCGCAGCAGGUCCCGAGCUCGACCCCGUCGCCUCCUCUGA